UGGGGAAUUUUGCGCAAUGGGCGAAAGCCUGAUGCAGCAACGCCGCGUGUGCGAUGAAGGCCUUCGGGUCGUAAAGCACUUUUAUGAGAGAUGAGAAAGGACAGUAUCUCAGGAAUAAGCCUCGGCUAACUACGUGCCAGCAGCCGCGGUAAAACGUAGGAGGCGAGCGUUAUCCGGAUUCACUGGGCGUAAAGCGCGUGCAGGCGGUUCGGUAAGUUGGGCGUGAAAUCUCCUGGCUUAACUAGGAGAGGUCGUCCAAUACUACCGGACUUGAGAGUGGUAGAGGAAGAUGGAAUUCCCGGUGUAGUGGUGAAAUGCGUAGAUAUCGGGAGGAACACCAGUGGCGAAAGCGAUUUUCUGGACCAUUUCUGACGCUCAGACGCGAAAGCUAGGGUAGUAAACGGGAUUAGAGACCCCGGUAAUCCCAGCCGUAAACGAUGUAAACUUGGCGUCGGUGGCUUAAACUCCGUCGGUGCCGCAGCUAACGCGAUAAGUUUACCGCCUGGGGACUACGAUCGCAAGAUUA
rnacentral:rRNA from 1 species